CGUAGUUCAGUUGGUAGAGCGCCAGAUUGUGGUUCUGGUUGUCGUGGGUUCGAGUCCCACCG
rnacentral:tRNA from 1 species